rnacentral:lncRNA from 1 species
CACACAAUUCCAUUUAUAUUAUUAUCUAUAUUGUGCUAACAUCAAUAAUCAAAAAUAUACUUUAUUUGAACCUGUAUUUGUUUGAUUAUGGAUAUCUCGUUGGGUGAAGAGAUGAAACAUGUGGUCGUCUACUUAUCUCCCUUACUUAUCAAACUAAUUUUACGCAAACCUUUAUUUUUCAGCUUAAAAGAAACCACAAUAACCCAAACAAUCAAAACACCAAAAACUAGAAUUCCAAAAAAGACAAAUCAUUAAUGAUCACCUCUCUUUUUUGGUCUAAUAUUAGAAAUAAACUUCCAAACAAAUAUACAAAACCAAUCACCUCAACUAAAACUCAACGACACAUAAAUCGAGUCAGCUAAACAAAUACAAACUACACAGCCAACUAUUUAACAAUUUACAAACUUACUUUCGCAACGACACAUACAUCGAGUCAGCUAAACAAAUACAAACUACACGACCAGCUAUUUAACAAUUUACAAACUUACUUUCGCAACGAAGAAGAC